AUGGGGGGGACCCUGAUCCAGCCAUCCCGCGUGUAUGAUGAAGGCCUUCGGGUUGUAAAGUACUUUUGGCAGAGAAGAAAAGGUAUCUCCUAAUACGGGAUACUGCUGACGGUAUCUGCAGAAUAAGCACCGGCUAACUACGUGCCAGCAGCCGCGGUAAUACGUAGGGUGCAAGCGUUAAUCGGAAUUACUGGGCGUAAAGCGUGUGUAGGCGGUUCGGAAAGAAAGAUGUGAAAUCCCAGGGCUCAACCUUGGAACUGCAUUUUUAACUGCCGAGCUAGAGUAUGUCAGAGGGGGGUAGAAUUCCACGUGUAGCAGUGAAAUGCGUAGAUAUGUGGAGGAAUACCGAUGGCGAAGGCAGCCCCCUGGGAUAAUACUGACGCUCAGACACGAAAGCGUGGGGAGCAAACAGGAUUAGAUACCCUGGUAGUCCACGCCCUAAACGAUGUCAACUAGCUGUUGGGGCCGUUAGGCCUUAGUAGCGCAGCUAACGCGUGAAGUUGACCGCCUGGGGAGUACGGUCGCAAGAUUAAAACUCAAAGGAAUUGACGGGGACCCGCACAAGCGGUGGAUGAUGUGGAUUAAUUCGAUGCAACGCGAAAAACCUUACCUACCCUUGACAUGUCUGGAAAGCCGAAGAGAUUUGGCCGUGCUCGCAAGAGAACCGGAACACAGGUGCUGCAUGGCUGUCGUCAGCUCGUGUCGUGAGAUGUUGGGUUAAGUCCCGCAACGAGCGCAACCCUUGUCAUUAGUUGCUACGCAAGAGCACUCUAAUGAGACUGCCGGUGACAAACCGGAGGAAGGUGGGGAUGACGUCAAGUCCUCAUGGCCCUUAUGGGUAGGGCUUCACACGUCAUACAAUGGUCGGGACAGAGGGUCGCCAACCCGCGAGGGGGAGCCAAUCUCAGAAACCCGAUCGUAGUCCGGAUCGCAGUCUGCAACUCGACUGCGUGAAGUCGGAAUCGCUAGUAAUCGCGGAUCARAUGUCGCGUGAAUACGUCCCGGGUCUGUACACACCGCCC
rnacentral:rRNA from 1 species